GGGUGUAUAGCUCAGUUGGUAGAGCAUUGGGCAUUUAACCUAAUGGUCGCAGGUUCAAGUCCAGCUAUACCCA
rnacentral:tRNA from 1 species